CGGGGUGGAGGUAAUGUCUGGGAAACUGCCUGAUGGAGGGGGAUAACUGCUGGAAACGGUAGCUAAUACCGCAUAACGUCGCAGGACCAAAGAGGGGGACCUUCGGGCCUCUUGCCAUCGGAUGUGCCCAGAUGGGAUUAGCUAGUAGGUGGGGUAACGGCUCACCUAGGCGACGAUCCCUAGCUGGUCUGAGAGGAUGACCAGCCACACUGGAACUGAGACACGGUCCAG
rnacentral:rRNA from 1 species